rnacentral:tRNA from 1 species
GCACUGGUGGCAUAAUGAUUAAGCACUGGGCUGCUAACCAAAAGGUUGAUGGUUCAAACCUACCCAGAGCC